rnacentral:piRNA from 1 species
UUGUCUUCUAGGCUCCAACUGCCUGUA